AGCAGUGUGGCGUAGUGGUUAGAGUGUUGGACUGAGACCUGGGAGACCUGGGUUCAAAUCCCUACUCAGCCA
rnacentral:tRNA from 1 species